rnacentral:rRNA from 1 species
GAUGAACGCUGGCGGCGUGCCUAAUACAUGCAAGUCGAGCGAACAGAUGAGGAGCUUGCUCCUCUGACGUUAGCGGCGGACGGGCGAGUAACACGUGGAUAACCUACCUAUAAGACUGGGAUAACUUCGGGAAACCGGAGCUAAUACCGGAUAAUAUAUUGAACCGCAUGGUUCAAUAGUGAAAGACGGUUUUGCUGUCACUUAUAGAUGGAUCCGCGCCGCAUUAGCUAGUUGGUAAGGUAACGGCUUACCAAGGCAACGAUGCGUAGCCGACCUGAGAGGGUGAUCGGCCACACUGGAACUGAGACACGGUCCAGACUCCUACGGGAGGCAGCAGUAGGGAAUCUUCCGCAAUGGGCGAAAGCCUGACGGAGCAACGCCGCGUGAGUGAUGAAGGUCUUCGGAUCGUAAAACUCUGUUAUUAGGGAAGAACAAAUGUGUAAGUAACUAUGCACGUCUUGACGGUACCUAAUCAGAAAGCCACGGCUAACUACGCG